AGUGGGGAAUAUUGCGCAAUGGGCGAAAGCCUGACGCAGCGACGCCGCGUGGAGGAAGAAGGUUUUCGGAUUGUAAACUCCUGUUAAGUGGGAAGAAAGACUCAGUGCUAAUAACGCUGAGGGAUGACGGUACCACUAGAGAAAGCCCCGGCUAACUUCGUGCCAGCAGCCGCGGUAAUACGAAGGGGGCGAGCGUUAUUCGGAAUUACUGGGCGUAAAGGACGCGUAGGCGGUCUAUUAAGUCAGCUGUUAAAUUCCAGGGCCUAACCCUGGGUAUGCAGAUGAUACUGAUUGGACUAGAGUAUGGAAGAGAGGGGUGGAAUUCUCGGAGUAGCGGUAAAAUGCGUAGAUCUCGAGAGGAACACCGAUGGCGAAGGCAGCCCCUUGGUCCAAUACUGACGCUGAGGCGUGAAAGCGUGGGGAGCAAACAGGAUUAGAUACCCUGGUAGUCCACGCUGUAAACGAUGAUCACUAGAUGUGGGACGGGCUUGCCUGUUCCGUGUCGAAGCUAACGCGAUAAGUGAUCCGCCUGGGGAGUACGGUCGCAAAGAUUAAAACUCAAAGAAAUUGACGGGGGUCCGCACAAGCGGUGGAACAUGUGGUUUAAUUCGACACUACGCGAGGAACCUUACCUAGGUUUGACAUGUAUAGGCAAGUCGGCGAAAUCCGAUGCACUGGGAAACCAGUCCUUUACACAGGUGCUGCAUGGCUGUCGUCAGCUCGUGUCGUGAGAUGUUGGGUUAAGUCCUUUAACGAGCGCAACCCUUGCCGUUAGUUGCUACAUUUAGUUGAGCACUCUAACGGGACUGCCUGGGAAACCAGGAGGAAGGUGGGGAUGACGUCAAGUCCUCAUGGCCCUUAUACCUAGGGCUACACACGUGUUACAAUGGCGAAUACAAAGGGAAGCAACACCGCGAGGUGAAGCGAAUCUCAGAAAGUUCGUCUAAGUUCGGAUUGCAGUCUGCAACUCGACUGCAUGAAGUUGAAAUCGCUAGUAAUCGCGCAUCAGAACGGCGCGGUGAAUACGUUCUCGGACCUUGUACACACCGCCCGUCACACUAUGGAAGUCGUUUACACCCGAAGUCACUUUAGCUAACCCUAACGGGGGGCGGGUGCCGAAGGUGUGGGGGAUGACUGGAGUG
rnacentral:rRNA from 1 species